rnacentral:rRNA from 1 species
ACAGUUUGAUUCUGACUGACAUAUUAACUUAUAUCAACCAAUAUACAUGUCAAAAAAUAUGUCCCCGCAAAUUUACAAACCUAAAAGACAUAAAUUACCGUAUUUAGAAAUAUACUCCAUACGAUAGGGCGCCACAGUAAAUAACACUUUACAUUUUGAAAAAUCAAGAUGAGGGUAUGAUUAAAGGGUUGGCAAAAUUCGUGCCAGCUGCCGCGGUUAGACGAAGAACCCAAGUUAAUAAAAUAUAGACCAAUUAAAGACAAAUUAAAAAUAAUUAAAAGUCUAAUUUCUACAACCUGAGUGCCACAUUUGUCCAAACAAAAUGAAACCAUGACCUAAAACAUGGAUUAGAUACCCAUCUAUUCAUGACAUAAAUUAAAUAGUCGAAUAUUACGAACCAUAGUUUAAAAUUCAAAGAUUUUGGCGGUGUCUUAUAAAACCAGGGGAACCUGUCUCAUAACUCGAUAAUCCACGACUACCUAACCUUUUUUAGAAAUUCAGCUUGUGUACUGCCGUUGUAAGCACACCUUUAAAAGAACCAGUGUGCCUCUAUAACCUCACCUAACAUGAGACUCAUAUACAUCAGGUCAAAGUGCAGCUAAUAAAAAGGAGAUGAUGGGUUACAACCAAAAUAAAGAUACGAAUUAACAUAUUAAAAAAUUAUGAAGGUGGACUUGGAUGUAAUUAAGAACAGAAAAAUAAAAUGAAUUCUCAUCUAAGACAUGCACACAUCGCCCGUCACUCUACCCCCAAGGCUAGAUAAGUCGUAACAAAGUAGGUGUAAUGGAAAUUGCACCUGU